rnacentral:tRNA from 1 species
AUUCUUAAAGUAAAUUUUUACACUUAAUUUCGACUUAAAAAUUGAUUAAUAUUAAUCUAAGAAUU